rnacentral:rRNA from 2 species
UAUCAGUUUGUUGGUGAGGUAAUGGCCCACCAAGACUAUUACAGGUACGGGCUCUGAGAGGAGUAGCCCGGAGAUGGGUACUGAGACACGGACCCAGGCCCUAUGGGGCGCAGCAGGCGAGAAAACUUUGCAAUGUGCGAAAGCACGACAAGGUUAAUCCGAGUGGUUUCUGCUAAAGAAACCUUUUGUCAGUCCUAGAAACACUGAUGAAUAAGGGGUGGGCAAGUUCUGGUGUCAGCCGCCGCGGUAAAACCAGCACCUCAAGUGGUCAGGAUGAUUAUUGGGCCUAAAGCAUCCGUAGCCGGCUCUGUAAGUUUUCGGUUAAAUCUGUACGCUCAACGUACAGGCUGCCGGGAAUACUGCAAAGCUAGGGAGUGGGAGAGGUAGACGGUACUCGGUAGGAAGGGGUAAAAUCCUUUGAUCUAUUGAUGACCACCUGUGGCGAAGGCGGUCUACCAGAACACGUCCGACGGUGAGGGAUGAAAGCUGGGGGAGCAAACCGGAUUAGAUACCCGGGUAGUCCCAGCUGUAAACUAUGCAAACUCAGUGAUGCAUUGGCUUGUGGCCAAUGCAGUGCUGCAGGGAAGCCGUUAAGUUUGCCGCCUGGGAAGUACGUACGCAAGUAUGAAACUUAAAGGAAUUGGCGGGGGAGCACCACAAGGGGUGAAGCCUGCGGUUCAAUUGGAGUCAACGCCGGG